rnacentral:rRNA from 1 species
CACGGAGUUAGCCGGUGCUUAUUCAUAUGGUACCGUCAUUAUCUUCCCAUAUAAAAGGAGUUUACACACCGAAAUGCGUCAUCCUCCACGCGGCGUUGCUGCAUCAGAGUUUCCUCCAUUGUGCAAUAUUCCC